rnacentral:rRNA from 1 species
UACGAAGGGGGCGAGCGUUGUCCGGAAUCACUGGGCGUAAAGGGCGCGUAGGCGGCUUGAUAAGGUUGCGGUGAAAGCCCGGGGCUCAACCCCGGGUCGGCCGUGGCAACUGUCGAGCUGGAGCACUGUAGAGGCAGGUGGAAUUCCGGGUGUAGCGGUGGAAUGCGUAGAGAUCCGGAAGAACACCGGUGGCGAAGGCGGCCUGCUGGGCAGUGGCUGACGCUGAGGCGCGACAGCGUGGGGAGCAAACAGG